UGAGGCACCAACGAAAUAGUUUCAGACGCUUCACUUCAACAAGUAGAUAUCAAUAAUAACAUCGAUUACUCUCUUUAAAAGCAGAAAUGCCAUGGCAGUACACCAACAAUCUUCCAUCUUCUCUGUAAAUCUAUCUGGUUGUGAAGGUGGAUGCCACCCGGUCUUAGUACUUGCUAACUUUCUCCAUGGCAAUCUCCACAUUAGAGCAUCCACUAAACCUCACAAAUGACCUUAGAGCAUGGUACUGAAGUGGCAAUUUUAUAAUCAGUCAAAUCCCCUUUGAUAAUACCUGCUUUCCUAAGAAACCUCACACCCUCAGUUGCAUCUGCAAUCCCACACAUUAGAUUGAUGGAUCUGGUAAAUAGGAGCUUCAAUUUCGACAUGGCAGCUUCAUAGACCAUCAAGUUUCUAAGUAUGACUACUGAGUCAGCAUUCAUGGUGAUAAUAGGAAUUUAUAAAGUUGAAGAAGAUUGUUUAAAUUUAUUUUUAUUGAUAUCCACUUGGAUUGGGCUGCAUCCGACUCUGGCAUAACACCAUAAUUUGGAUGUUGUAUAGCUCUAGUAUCCUUGCUCUCUUUGUCUCCAUUUCUUUCUGUACAUUUCCUAAAUAGCCCCAAAAUUAUUGACCAUGGCACAUUUGCUACAACCCGGUUAACAGACUUAACAAAUUUUUGCACGUUUCUUGGGCCUAUUUGGCUUCAAAA